rnacentral:ribozyme from 1 species
AUACGGAAGAUUUUUAUGCUAUUUGCUAUUGCCUCAGUUUUUUCUUUUUUUCUUUUUUCUCGAACCGAAU